GAGUUUGAUCCUGGCUCAGAUUGAACGCUGGCGGCAUGCCUUACACAUGCAAGUCGAACGGCAGCACGGGAGCUUGCUCCUGGUGGCGAGUGGCGAGCGGGUGAGUAAUGCAUCGGAACGUAUCCUGGAGUGGGGGAUAACGUAGCGAAAGUUACGCUAAUACCGCAUAUUCUGUGAGCAGGAAAGCGGGGGACCUUCGGGCCUCGCGCUCUUGGAGCGGCCGAUGUCGGAUUAGCUAGUUGGUGAGGUAAAGGCUCACCAAGGCGACGAUCCGUAGCAGGUCUGAGAGGAUGAUCUGCCACACUGGAACUGAGACACGGUCCAGACUCCUACGGGAGGCAGCAGUGGGGAAUUUUGGACAAUGGGGGGCAACCCUGAUCCAGCCAUGCCGCGUGAGUGAAGAAGGCCUC
rnacentral:rRNA from 1 species